rnacentral:rRNA from 1 species
CCCUUAGACGUUCUGGGCCGCACGCGCGCUACACUGACCAGUGCAACAAGCAUCCGUCCUUGGCCGACAGGCCCGGGCAAUCUUUGAACGCUGGUCGUGAUGGGGAUAGACUUUUGCAAUUUUUGGUCUUCAACGAGGAAUUCCCAGUAAACGCAAGUCAUCAACUUGCAUUGAUUACGUCCCUGCCCUUUGUACACACCGCCCGUCGCACCUACCGAUUGAAUGGUCCGGUGAAGCCUCCGGAUUGGCGCGCACCUCGGUGCCGCCGAGAAGUUGGCUAAACCUUACCAUUUAGAGGAAGGUGAAGUCGUANCA